GUUGUCCAUAUAUUUAGUUGGUGUCACAACAGUGAUUUGAGCAUCAUGAAAAUAUAGGAAUAACCCUUAAAUUUUAGUCUGUUAUACAGAAACGAGGACAUGGCGCCAUGCAAGCGAGAGGAGCAAGGUGGCUUCUGGGGCUUAGAAUAGGAGGGUGAGAUGGAGUUUUGUGGAGCACUAAGGUAGAUACAGUUGCGGUAUUGCAUUUUGAGUAGUAUUUCUGGUUCAUCAGGUUUGGUAUUGGGAUUGGUUGCUCUUGCCUGUUGUGAUGUUGGGUUGCUAUAUACCCAUAUUCGUGUAAUAAGUAGUUGGCUUUAUAGAGUUCUGUAGUUGGAUGUAGAGUUCUUGCUGCGGUUGUGAGGUGUUUUGUGUCUGUUAAUUUAAAAUCAUGGCUGAUCCUUGUGACCAGAACCUGAAAACUUGCUUUGUAUUAUCAAUACUGCAAAUGAAAUUGGGAGCAGUGAGUUCCUAAUGUCGAAAAAAAUGUUGUUCAUGUUGUGUUAUGCUCUGCAUCAAUCGUUGAUUUGUGUGCCAGGCAACCACCACGGUCGCACCCGCAUCUCUGCUCCAUUCAAUCACAUCGUCCUACGAUGCACACAUCAUAAGUCUGGGAAGUGAUCCUGGUUCAAGAGUUUCUUGGUCAGAUCUGGUCAUUGGGAUCUCAUGGAUGCCAGCAAUGCAUUCAAUCAAUAAACAUAUUUGAUCAUGUCUCAUGUCUUCUCAGACCAGUCAGACUCCCAAGAUGAAGUCAAUAAACUGGAGCACUCCAAUCUAUCUGCCACUUAGGCCCUGAAACCAAGCCCUUCGCUGGCAACUCAUUGGAUGUAGACAUUCAGGUGGAUGCAGCUACUCAACCCUAAAUUGAUUUUUAUGUAAGGAUUCUUGGUAUGUAUUUAGUUUGUAAGCAUCAAUCUUAUUCAAUUUAUACUUGAAUGUUAUCUAUGUAAGUGUUUGAGCCAGAACAUCUUA